rnacentral:lncRNA from 1 species
CAUCUCACUAAGCACCCAGAGAGACCCUGAAUUAUCCAUAUUCCUUUGAAAUCCUAAGGGUGAUUUCCAGAGGUAACAAAUAGGCAGUAUCACUGUAAUUUACGUAUUUAUUUUUGCAUUGUCUAAAAUAAAACCAAA